rnacentral:rRNA from 1 species
CUUACCAGGUCCAGACACAGUUAGGAUUGACAGAUUGAUAGCUCUUUCUUGAUUCUGUGGGUGGUGGUGCAUGGCCGUUCUUAGUUGGUGGAGUGAUUUGUCUGGUUAAUUCCGAUAACGAACGAGACCUCAGCCUAUUAAUUAAAUAAAAAAAUAUAAGCAAUUAUAAGGGUUAAAUAAAAUUUAUUUAAUGCUUUUUUAAAGUAUUAAAUAAUUUUAUUUAAAACUUGUUUAUAUUUAUUUUUAUUUUCUUAAAGGGACACUUAGUGUUUAACCAAGGGAAGUUUGAGGCAAUAACAGGUCUGUGAUGCCCUUUAGAUGUUCUGGGCCGCACGCGCGCUACACUGAUAAAAUCAAUAAGUUUUUUUAAUUUAAUUCCUUGACCGAAAGGUUUGGGUAAACUUUGAAAAUUUUAUCGUGCUGGGGAUUGACAAUUGUAAUUAUUUGUCAUGAACGAGGAAUUCCUAGUAAACGUAAGUCAUCAGCUUACGUUGAUUACGUCCCUGCCCUUUGUACACACCGCCCGUC